UACGGAGGGUGCAAGCGUUAUCCGGAUUUACUGGGUUUAAAGGGUGCGUAGGUGGGUAAGUAAGUCAGUGGUGAAAUCUCCGAGCUUAACUCGGAAACUGCCAUUGAUACUAUUUAUCUUGAAUUUUCUGGAGGUGAGCGGAAUAUGUCAUGUAGCGGUGAAAUGCUUAGAUAUGACAUAGAACACCAAUUGCGAAGGCAGCUCACUACGGGAACAUUGACACUGAGGCACGAAAGCGUGGGGAUCAAACAGG
rnacentral:rRNA from 1 species